rnacentral:rRNA from 1 species
AUUGAACGCUAGCGGGAUGCCUUACACAUGCAAGUCGAACGAGUGGCGAACGGGCGAGUAAUGGAUCGGAACGUGCCCAGUCGCGGGGGAUAACGACUGGAAAUGGUAGCUAAUACCGCAUACCAUCGGAUUUGCCCAGAUGGGAUUAGCUAGUGGGUGGGGUAAUGGCCCACCUCGGCGACGAUCCCUAGCUGGUUUGAGAGGAGGGCCAGCCACACUUGAGCUGAAACACGGUCCAGACUCCUACGGGAGGCGGCAGUGGGGAAUAUUGGACGAUGGGGUCAACCCUAGUGCGGCCAUCCCGCGUGUAUGAGGAAGGCCUUCGGGUUGUAAAGUACUUUCGGCGAGGAGGCGUUACUCGCAGAAGAAGCACCGGCUAACUCCGUGCCAGCAGCCGCGGUAAUUC